AGCCUUCAGCUCAACAAGUAUUGAAGGUGACGCCUGCCCAGUGACAUAAAGUUUAACGGCCGCGGUAUCCUAACCGUGCAAAGGUAGCGCAAUCAAUUGUCCCAUAAAUCGAGACUUGUAUGAAUGGCCAAACGAGGUCUUAACUGUCUCUUGCAAGUAAUCAGUGAAAUUGAUCUCCCCGUGCAAAAGCGGGGAUAAAUUCAUAAGACGAGAAGACCCUGUGGAACUUAAAAACCAGCAGCCACCCCAAACCAUAUCUAAACCUACAAGGCUCACAACCAAGAACAACUGGCUAGCAUUUUUUCGGUUGGGGCGACCUUGGAGAAAAACAUAUCCUCCAAAAAUAAGACCAUAUAUCUUAACCAAGAUCAACCACUCAACGUACUAACAGUAACCAGACCCAGCAUAGCUGAUCAAUGGACCAAGCUACCCCAGGGAUAACAGCGCUAUCCCCCUCAAGAGCCCAUAUCGACAGGGGGGUUUACGACCUCGAUGUUGGAUCAGGACAUCCUAAUGGUGCAGCCGCUAUUAAGGGUUCGUUUGUUCAACGAUUAAUUAGUCCU
rnacentral:rRNA from 1 species